rnacentral:rRNA from 1 species
AGAGAUGUGUGAUGACGCAUAUCAAUAAGCGGAGGAAAAGAAACUAACAAGGAUUCCCUUAGUAACGGCGAGUGAAGCGGGAAGAGCUCAAAUUUGAAAUCUUCAAGGUUCUACCUUGACGAAUUGUAGUUUAUAGAAGUGUUUUCUGUUAGUAGAGUGGCAAAAGUUCUUUGGAAUAGGACAUCAUAGAGGGUGAGAAUCCCGUAUUUGGUCAUUCUUUCUAGCUUUGUGAUACACUUUCAACGAGUCGGAUUGUUUGGGAAUGCAGUCCAAAAUGGGUGGUAAAUUUCAUCUAAAGCUAAAUAUUGGCGAGAGACCGAUAGCGAACAAGUACCGUGAGGGAAAGAUGAAAAGAACUUUGAAAAGAGAGUUAAACAGUACGUGAAAUUGUCAAAAGGGAAGCGUUUGACACCAGUGUUGUUUUUCCGAAAAUCAAUUACGAAUGUUUUAUUUUUGAGAAGAUAUGACUUCAUCGGCUUGCUUCUCUCUUUAUGAAACUUUCUUAAUGCACUUUUCGGUUAACAAGUCAACAUCAAUUUCUUUUGUUGUAAAAGGGUAUGAGGAAGGUGGCUUUCUUUUCGGAGAAAGUGUUUAUAGCCUUGUACCUCUGCAAUCGGAGAGAUUGAGGUCUGCAGCGUAGAUCCUUCGGGGUUAGAUACAUUUGUGCUAAGCUAUAGCCUUUUCAUAGACAACUUGUUGACUAUGCUCUAGUCAUAGUAGCUUACUCGCUUAUGCUAUUUUACCUACGCUUAGGAUGUUGACGAUCAGCUGAGCGCG